GCUUCCCUCCAGGUCGUCAGUUAGAAGGUGGUCAGUUAGAAGGUCAUCAGUUAGAAGAUUGUUCAAGGGUCCUGAUUAAACUGCUUGGAGAAGAGCUCCUGCGUUGCGUCUUCCUUGCUGGUCGAGGGUGGACGCGACACCUAGGGGAACUCAGGCCUCGGAACUAUGUCCCAGAGGAUGAAGACCUGAAAAGGAGGCGGGUCCCUCAGGCCAAACCAGUUGCAGUGGAGGAGAAGGUGAAGGAGCAGCUGGAGGCUGCCAAGCCAGAGCCUGUCAUUGAGGAAGUGGACCUGGCCAACCUAGCACCUCGGAAACCUGAUUGG